rnacentral:rRNA from 1 species
AUUGAACGCUGGCGGCAGGCCUAACACAUGCAAGUCGAGCGGAUGAAGGGAGCUUGCUCCUGGAUUCAGCGGCGGACGGGUGAGUAAUGCCUAGGAAUCUGCCUGGCAGUGGGGGAUAACGUCCGGAAACGGACGCUAAUACCGCAUACGUCCUGAGGGAGAAAGUGGGGGAUCUUCGGACCUCACGCUAUCAGAUGAGCCUAGGUCGGAUUAGCUAGUUGGUGGGGUAAAGGCCUACCAAGGCGACGAUCCGUAACUGGUCUGAGAGGAUGAUCAGUCACACUGGAACUGAGACACGGUCCAGACUCCUACGGGAGGCAGCAGUGGGGAAUGUUGGACAAUGGGCGAAAGCCUGAUCCAGCCAUGCCGCGUGUGUGAAGAAGGUCUUCGGAUUGUAAAGCACUUUAAGUUGGGAGGAAGGGCAGUAAGUUAAUACCUUGCUGUUUUGACGUUACCAACAGAAUAAGCACCGGCUAACUUCGUG